CCAAGGAGUCUAACAUGUGCGCGAGUCAUUGGGAUGAUAAAAACCUAAAGGCGCAAUGAAAGUGAAGGUCGUCCUUAGCGUCGACCGAGGGAGGAUGGCUCGUGUUACGAUGCGAGCUCGCACUCCCGGGGCGUCUCGUGCUCAUUGCGAGCUGAGGCGCACCCAGAGCGUACACGUUGGGACCCGAAAGAUGGUGAACUAUGCCUGGUCAGGACGAAGUCAGGGGAAACCCUGAUGGAGGUCCGUAGCGAUUCUGACGUGCAAAUCGAUCGUCGGAACUGGGUAUAGGGGCGAAAGACUAAUCGAACCAUC
rnacentral:rRNA from 1 species